rnacentral:rRNA from 1 species
AGCGUACACGGUGGAUGCCCUGGCAGUCAGAGGCGAUGAAGGACGUGCUAAUCUGCGAUAAGCGUCGGUAAGGUGAUAUGAACCGUUAUAACCGGCGAUUUCCGAAUGGGGAAACCCAGUGUGUUUCGACACACUAUCAUUAACUGAAUCCAUAGGUUAAUGAGGCGAACCGGGGGAACUGAAACAUCUAAGUACCCCGAGGAAAAGAAAUCAACCGAGAUUCCCCCAGUAGCGGCGAGCGAACGGGGAGCAGCCCAGAGCCUGAAUCAGUGUGUGUGUUAGUGGAAGCGUCUGGAAAGGCGCGCGAUACAGGGUGACAGCCCCGUACACAAAAAUGCACAUGCUGUGAGCUCGAUGAGUAGGGCGGGACACGUGGUAUCCUGUCUGAAUAUGGGGGGACCAUCCUCCAAGGCUAAAUACUCCUGACUGACCGAUAGUGAACCAGUACCGUGAGGGAAAGGCGAAAAGAACCCCGGCGAGGGGAGUGAAAAAGAACCUGAAACCGUGUACGUACAAGCAGUGGGAGCACGCUUAGGCGUGUGACUGCGUACCUUUUGUAUAAUGGGUCAGCGACUUAUAUUCUGUAGCAAGGUUAACCGAAUAGGGGAGCCGAAGGGAAACCGAGUCUUAACUGGGCGUUAAGUUGCAGGGUAUAGACCCGAAACCCGGUGAUCUAGCCAUGGGCAGGUUGAAGGUUGGGUAACACUAACUGGAGGACCGAACCGACUAAUGUUGAAAAAUUAGCGGAUGACUUGUGGCUGGGGGGGAAAGGCCAAUCAAACCGGGAGAUAGCUGGUUCUCCCCGAAAGCUAUUUAGGUAGCGCCUCGUGAACUCAUCUCCGGGGGUAGAGCACUGUUUCGGCAAGGGGGUCAUCCCGACUUACCAACCCGAUGCAAACUGCGAAUACCGGAGAAUGUUAUCACGGGAGACACACGGCGGGUGCUAACGUCCGUCGUGAAGAGGGAAACAACCCAGACCGCCAGCUAAGGUCCCAAAGUCAUGGUUAAGUGGGAAACGAUGUGGGAAGGCCCAGACAGCCAGGAUGUUGGCUUAGAAGCAGCCAUCAUUUAAAGAAAGCGUAAUAGCUCACUGGUCGAGUCGGCCUGCGCGGAAGAUGUAACGGGGCUAAACCAUGCACCGAAGCUGCGGCAGCGACGCUUAUGCGUUGUUGGGUAGGGGAGCGUUCUGUAAGCCUGUGAAGGUGUACUGUGAGGUAUGCUGGAGGUAUCAGAAGUGCGAAUGCUGACAUAAGUAACGAUAAAGCGGGUGAAAAGCCCGCUCGCCGGAAGACCAAGGGUUCCUGUCCAACGUUAAUCGGGGCAGGGUGAGUCGACCCCUAAGGCGAGGCCGAAAGGCGUAGUCGAUGGGAAACAGGUUAAUAUUCCUGUACUUGGUGUUACUGCGAAGGGGGGACGGAGAAGGCUAUGUUGGCCGGGCGACGGUUGUCCCGGUUUAAGCGUGUAGGCUGGUUUUCCAGGCAAAUCCGGAAAAUCAAGGCUGAGGCGUGAUGACGAGGCACUACGGUGCUGAAGCAACAAAUGCCCUGCUUCCAGGAAAAGCCUCUAAGCAUCAGGUAACAUCAAAUCGUACCCCAAACCGACACAGGUGGUCAGGUAGAGAAUACCAAGGCGCUUGAGAGAACUCGGGUGAAGGAACUAGGCAAAAUGGUGCCGUAACUUCGGGAGAAGGCACGCUGAUAUGUAGGUGAAGCGACUUGCUCGUGGAGCUGAAAUCAGUCGAAGAUACCAGCUGGCUGCAACUGUUUAUUAAAAACACAGCACUGUGCAAACACGAAAGUGGACGUAUACGGUGUGACGCCUGCCCGGUGCCGGAAGGUUAAUUGAUGGGGUCAGCGCAAGCGAAGCUCUUGAUCGAAGCCCCGGUAAACGGCGGCCGUAACUAUAACGGUCCUAAGGUAGCGAAAUUCCUUGUCGGGUAAGUUCCGACCUGCACGAAUGGCGUAAUGAUGGCCAGGCUGUCUCCACCCGAGACUCAGUGAAAUUGAACUCGCUGUGAAGAUG